GCCACGGUGGCUUAAUUGGUUAGAGCUUCAAUCUUGAAAAGUGGCGUUCCCGGUUCAACUCCGGGCUGAGGCA